rnacentral:rRNA from 1 species
CCUACGGGUGGCAGCAGUGGGGAAUAUUGGACAAUGGGGGCAACCCUGAUCCAGCCAUGCCGCGUGUGUGAAGAAGGCCCUCGGGUUGUAAAGCACUUUCAGUGAGGAAGAACGCCUGGUGGUUAAUACCCAUCAGGAAAGACAUCACUCACAGAAGAAGCACCGGCUAACUCCGUGCCAGCAGCCGCGGUAAUACGGAGGGUGCGAGCGUUAAUCGGAAUUACUGGGCGUAAAGCGCGCGUAGGUGGCUUGAUAAGCCGGUUGUGAAAGCCCCGGGCUCAACCUGGGAACGGCAUCCGGAACUGUCAAGCUAGAGUGCAGGAGAGGAAGGUAGAAUUCCCGGUGUAGCGGUGAAAUGCGUAGAGAUCGGGAGGAAUACCAGUGGCGAAGGCGGCCUUCUGGACUGACACUGACACUGAGGUGCGAAAGCGUGGGUAGCAAACAGGAUUAGAUACACGUGUAGUC